UACAGAGGCCACGAGCGUUAGGCGGAAUCACUGGGCUUAAAGCGUGUGUAGGUGGAUGGGUAAGUACCUUGUGAAAUCCCACGGCUCAACCGUGGAACUGCUUGGUAUACUGCCUGUCUUGAGGCACUCAGGGGCGAGCGGAACAGAUGGUGGAGCGGUGAAAUGCGUAGAUAUCAUCUGGAACGCCAAUGGUGAAGACAGCUCGCUGGGGGUGUACUGACACUGAGACCCGAAAGCCAGGGGAGCAAACGGG
rnacentral:rRNA from 1 species